GCACUGGCGGUUCAGUGGUAGAAUCCCCACCUUUCAUGCAGGAAGACCUGGGUUCGAUUCCCGGCCAAUGCA
rnacentral:tRNA from 1 species